AUUGAACGCUGGCGGCAGGCCUAACACAUGCAAGUCGAGCGGAUGAAGGGAGCUUGCUCCUGGAUUCAGCGGCGGACGGGUGAGUAAUGCCUAGGAAUCUGCCUGGUAGUGGGGGAUAACGUCCGGAAACGGGCGCUAAUACCGCAUACGUCCUGAGGGAGAAAGUGGGGGAUCUUCGGACCUCACGCUAUCAGAUGAGCCUAGGGCGGAUUAGCUAGUUGGGGGGGUAAAGGCCUACCAAGGCGACGAUCCGUAACUGGUCUGAGAGGAUGAUCAGUCACACUGGAAAAGAGACACGGUCCAGACUCCUACGGGAGGCAGCAGUGGGGAAUAUUGGACAAUGGGCGAAAGCCUGAUCCAGGCAUGGCGCGUGUAUGAAGAAGGUCUUCGGAUUGUAAAGCACUUUAAGUUGGGAGGAAGGGCAGUAAGUUAAUACCUUGCUGUUUUGACGUUACCAACAGAAUAAGCACCGGCUAACUUCGUG
rnacentral:rRNA from 1 species